rnacentral:rRNA from 1 species
AGUCGAGCGAACAGAUGAGAAGCUUGCUUCUCUGAUGUUAGCGGCGGACGGGUGAGUAACACGUGGGUAACCUACCUAUAAGACUGGGAUAACUCCGGGAAACCGGGGCUAAUACCGGAUAAUAUUUUGAACCGCAUGGUUCAAUAGUGAAAGACGGUUUCGGCUGUCACUUAUAGAUGGACCCGCGCCGUAUUAGCUAGUUGGUAAGGUAACGGCUUACCAAGGCGACGAUACGUAGCCGACCUGAGAGGGUGAUCGGCCACACUGGAACUGAGACACGGUCCAGACUCCUACGGGAGGCAGCAGUAGGGAAUCUUCCGCAAUGGGCGAAAGCCUGACGGAGCAACGCCGCGUGAGUGAUGAAGGUCUUCGGAUCGUAAAACUCUGUUGUUAGGGAAGAACAAAUUUGUUAGUAACUGAACAAGUCUUGACGGUACCUAACCAGAAAGCCACGGCUAACUACGUGCCAGCAGCCGCGGUAAUACGUAGGUGGCAAGCGUUAUCCGGAAUUAUUGGGCGUAAAGCGCGCGUAGGCGGUUUCUUAAGUCUGAUGUGAAAGCCCACGG